GUACACGCUGUGACUAGCAUAUCAAUAAGCGGAGGAAAAGAAACUAACAAGGAUUCCCCUAGUAACGGCGAGUGAAGCGGGAAGAGCUCAAAUUUGAAAUCUUAAAGGGUUUCCCUUUACGAAUUGUAGUUUAAAGAAGAGUUUUCUGUUGAGGUUUUGGUAAAAGUUCUUUGGAAUAGGACAUCAUAGAGGGUGAGAAUCCCGUAUUUGACCUUUACUUUCAACUUUGUGAUACACUUUCAAAGAGUCGGAUUGUUUGGGAAUGCAGUCCAAAAUGGGUGGUAAAUUUCAUCUAAAGCUAAAUAUUGGCGAGAGACCGAUAGCGAACAAGUACCGUGAGGGAAAGAUGAAAAGAACUUUGAAAAGAGAGUUAAACAGUACGUGAAAUUGUCAAAAGGGAAGCGUUUGACACCAGUGUUGUUUUUCUGAAAAUCAAUUAAAGAACUGUUUAUGCUAAGCUGUUUAGACUUUAUCAGCUAAUCUGUUUAGUUUUGAGCUUUUCUUUAAUGCACUUUUCAGUUAACAAGUCAACAUCAAUUUCUUUUGCUGUAAAAAAGCUUGAGGAAGGUGGCUUGAGAUUCGUCUUAAGUGUUUAUAGCCUCUUGCCUAUGCAGUCGGAGAGAUUGAGGUCUGCAGCGUAGAUCCUUCGGGGCUAAAUGCAUUUGUGCUAAGUUAUAGCAUUUUAUAGACAACUUGUUGACUAUGAUUUGUCUUGUAGCUUACUCGCUUAUGUUAUUUUACCUACGCUUAGGAUGUUGAUAUGCAUGACUGAUAU
rnacentral:rRNA from 1 species